ACAGAUGGGAAUGAUGUUCUCCCUCGGGUUAUCCGAAACCGCAUUUUUUGCUGAUGACGUCUGCUUUU
rnacentral:ncRNA from 1 species